AUUGAACGCUGGCGGCAUGCCUUACACAUGCAGGUCGAACGGCAGCGCGGACUUCGGUCUGGCGGCGAGUGGCGAACGGGUGAGUAACAUAUCGGAACGUGCCCUGGAGUGGGGGAUAACUAGUCGAAAGACUAGCUAAUACCGCAUACGCCCUGAGGGGGAAAGUGGGGGAUCGCAAGACCUCAUGCUCGUGGAGCGGCCGAUAUCUGAUUAGCUAGUUGGUGGGGUAAAGGCCUACCAAGGCGACGAUCAGUAGCUGGUCUGAAGAGGACGACCAGCCACACUGGGACUGAGACACGGCCCAGACUCCUACGGGAGGCAGCAGUGGGGAAUUUUGGACAAUGGGGGUAACCCUGAUCCAGCAAUGCCGCGUGAGUGAAGAAGGCCUUCGGGUUGUAAAGCUCUUUUGUCCGGGAAGAAAUCCCAUCCCUGAAUACGGGAUGGGGAUGACGGUACUGUAAGAAUAAGCACCGGCUAACUACGUGCCAGCCGCCGCAGUAA
rnacentral:rRNA from 1 species